GAUGGGAGGAACUAUUAAUAAGUACUCUGAGACAAUAGGCGUGUACUUAUUGUCACCCUGUAGUGGCUAAUUAUAUGUAUUAACUUGACAGGCUAAGGGAUGCACAGAGAGCUGGUAAACUCUGUUUCUGAGUGUGUGUAUGAUGGCUGGCGUCUCCGGAAGAGACCAGCAUUUGAUUCUGUAGACUGAGUCAAGGAGAUCGUCCUUCCCAAUGUGGGCGGUCAUCAUCCAGUCCUCUGAGGGCCUGAACAGAGCAAGAAGGCAGAGGAAGGACAGUCUCUCCCUCUCUCCUUGAGCUGGGAUGUCCGUCUUCUCCAGCCCUCGGACGUCAGAGCUCCUGGUUCUCAGACCCUGGGGCUUGGACUGAGUUACAGCACCAGCUUCCCGGGUCUCCAGCUUGCAGACGGUAGAUGGUGGGACUUCUCGGCCUCCGUGAUCAUGUCUCCUAGAGUCCCAGGAAGAGAGCAUGGCUGUAAAGUCUGAGUCCACCCCUGUCCUUGCACAGAUCUGGAAGCUGAUGUCCACAGUGACCGACCGCAGUUCACACCAAGCCCUCAGCACCCACCCGAAGACCCCCCAUUACCAUCUGGAUCAGCUUGCAGGAGACCCAAAGGGGCAGCACGCCUGCUUCUCAGGCCAGGUGGUGGUAUUGGCUGGCGCUCUGCACGGCCCAGGCUUUGAUGGGCGGUUUCCAGGGCUCCAGGCAGAUGUUGGAGAGGACAGGGAUCAUGUCAUUUCAGAGCCAGCAGAGCGUUCCUGAGCGCUUCAUCCUCCCUGCUGCUCCUAUGUGUGGCAGCAUCGCCCAAUCCACCGAGGCCGGAAUGGAACAGAAAGGCAGAGGAUGGGAGGAUCCACUCCUCUCCCUGCGUGAGCUGGGACAUCGGUCUUCUGGCCUCGCCCUCCCGUUCUCAGCCUUCAGACUGCCCGGCAUCUACACCACCGCCUUCCUGGGUCUGCAGCUGGCAGAAGGCACAUCAUGGGCCCCUCAGCCCCCACAAUCGUGACGCAUGGUGACUUCCACAGCAGAGCCUCAGAGCCUUGCCUGCCAUCAUUUCUCCAUCUUCCAUGGGAUGCUGAGCAAAGGGCCGGCCACUGCCCUUCAGCAGGUGCAGCCUGAGACAGCAAUGUCAUCGCACGCACGACAUGUGGGGCCAGAUCAUGUGUCCUUAAAGGGAGGACGUCUGCCCUCCUUCCCUCCUCCACCCUGUGGCUCAGAAUGCGAAGCUGUGUCUGCUCCACCACAUGAGAGGGACACCAACUUCUAAACUGCUGAAGCCGCGGUUGAUCAGUGUCUGUUAUCCGCAGCUAAACCCACAUCGUAGCUGAGCCACCAGCCACGUGAAAAGCCCUGGGAGUCAAAAAUGAAAACCACCGAAGUGGUUUGUGAUCUCAAGGAGCUUCCAGUUUAGUAGGAUGGGCUGAAAAUAAAGUCAAUAAUAAAUUGAUGGAUUAAGAUGUGCUCAAUUGAAUACUGAUCAGUUUGAUUAACAAAUAAGAGUUUCUAAUCACUGGUUUUGCUUAUAAAUAAUUAAACAGGACAAUGACAAGUUGUGACAAAUGCUAGGAAGGAGAAUCGAAAGGUGCCGUGGUUGAAAUCAGCGAGGAGGG
ensembl:lncRNA